rnacentral:lncRNA from 1 species
CUGUUUAUAAAAUUAUAGCCCAGGAAUUGCUGCCAAAGUCGGCCUUUGGUGCAGCUGUAAGUCGGAUGGAAUCCACCUUCCUGACGUCAGACCCACCCACUGGAACACUGCUCCUCUGACUGGGGCUUCCCUGAAUGGAAACUACAUGUCAUACUGCAAAAACAACUUCUGAAAGAGAAAAAAGUCUUUGUCUCAGUUUCUGCUCUCCAGAGGUAACCCAAAGGUAAAAGGUAAGGAACCCAGUGAGAAAGACAGAGAGAAGUAUGGACAAGAAACAGAUCCUAAACCUGUUUUGUUUUAUUUUUGGUAGUAGUUGUUUAUUUUUGAAAACAUUCAAACCACCUGUAUUGGUGGCUGUUAUUAUGAAAUAAAUAAACUGAGAAACAACAAGACAAUUUGGCCUCUACAAUUUGUUUAGUUUUGACUAAGUAUUUGCCUUGGAAGAAGUAUGUGUACAAUACUCAUUUUUAAAAGAUGCAACAGUCACCUCGUUACUUGGAGUUUUACUUGAGACUUGAAUGGACUGAAACCACCUGGUCACCACUAGAAGCUACAUCAAGGAAAAGAAAGGCAACAUAUUGAAUCUCUUGGGAGAAACUCAUCCUGUAUCUGCUCGAUUGAAAACAUGAAGGUGCACAUUCCAAGCUGCAUAUGCUCAGGUCCGAGUUUCCAAGGAAACAAGGGACUGCUCAUCUAUCUGCAAAACUGAACUGACGAGUCACUUUCAGCUUGUUACAAACCUUGAUUCUGAAUCAAAUUCUAGUGUGCAGUCUAAAAAUUCUCACUGCCUUGUCAUUUCUGCCGAGCAAACCCCUGAUGCUAUGAGGCUGGCAGUUGGGCAGGGAUUUUCCUGGGUUGUGCACUCUAAUUUUUUCCUCUGCACUGUUAGUGAAAUACUGUCAUUGAGAACCAGCUCCACACUGCACCUAUGUGAGAAAGGCCUUGGUUUCUAUCAGUAAAGUCAGACAGGGCUAUGUGCAUUUGGGAUGCCCUGGUCAACCAUACAGGAGGAAGCACAGUGGUCUUCCCAGCUCUCACAGUGGCCACCAGCUCUCAGGCUCACAAACUAGGCAAAGCAAAGAGCAACAGAACAACCUACUUCCCAACUUUCAUUAGUCACUCAAAUCCAAGUGGGUGAUCGUAUUUCUGAAGGUCUUGAAUACAGGACUUCCUGACCAUUCUUUAGCAUUUACUGAUGAAAGUAUUUCAGAUGUGUUAUGUUGUUUGGCAUGUGUUAUGUUGUUUGGCAAUCACAGUAAGUGUUGAGAUAGAUACUAUGAUUAUCUUCAUUCUCUAGGAACAGGCACAGAGAGGUUAAGUAAUUUCCCAAAGGUCACACAGUUUGUAAGUGAUAAAACUGAUUUGAAGCCAAACUAUGUCACCCCAAACUCAUAUUUUUAACACUUUAUUCCAUCUUCUAAAAGGCUGGCUAUUCUAUUUUUCUCUAAGUUUCAAAUUAGUAUGCCCAUUCCCUUGUUCAUUCAUUCAUUCAUCCAACAAACAUGUGUCAGGCAUCUAUGCCAGGCUCUGUGGAUAUAGUAUAAUAACAAACAAGACAGAUAAGAUUUCUCAGGGAGCUUACGUUUUGUAGAGGAGACUAAAUAAAUAAGCAAGCACAAACAAUGUAGAGUUUGUAAUAUUACCUAUCCCAGCAAAGGAAACCAACACUAGUGUGAGAAAAUUAAAUUAUAAAAGACCCUAACAUUUUCAAGAUACUGAAGGGGAUGAGAUGAAGCAGAGGUAGAGUGGGGCUGGAUUAUGCUGAAACACAUAGAACAGACUGGAUUCUAUUUUAAGUGAGGUGAUAAAUUCUUAAGGGUUUGUCAUUUUUGAGGUAGAACUGUCUUUUGUUCCUAUUGUAAAGAAACUACAUAGGUAGGCAUAAAAUACACCUGUAUGCCAGAGAUAGAAAAAUUCAUAUAAUUCCCAACUCCAAUUCUAUUUCUCUAGGAUAAUUUUAAUUGUGUAUAUGAAACAUAUCUCAAUGUUCUUGAAAGACUGAAAUCCACUCUUUUUAUUAUUUAUUGACUUAUUGAUUUGUGGUUAAGGAAAAAGUAGACUGAAGUAAAAAUAAAGAGUGCAGGAGUAUAAUUGCACAAGAAGUGGGAGGGAGACUUGUUGAACAGGCAACAGCCUAAAGUGAGUAUCCAUGAGUGGGCUCAGUAUGACCCUGCAGCUCCCCCAUCACACUUGCACCCACCUCAAGGAAUCCAGUUCACCUCUAUGGAAAAUCCCUGGGCUCCACGGGACAGAGUCUUGUUUUGUUUUACAUCUGUGUGUCCAUGCCUAGCCAGUAUCUUGUUUAGUGCAGCCUUUCCAUAAUAUUUGUGGAGAGAAAGAAAAAUGAAAGGAAGAAGAGAGGGAGGGGAAAAAGAAAGUGAGAGGAAAGAAGAAAGGUAAAAAGGAAGUAGCACUCUUGGUUUUGCUUCUCCUUGGCUGUUUCGUUAUUCUCAGUACUCCCCAACCCAUCUUCCUGGGAUAAGAAAAAAAAAAGACAUCUAAAAUGACACUUCCAAAAGAUUAAUAUUUUCAUUUCAACACUUCUGAAAGUAUUUCAAUGAAAUUGCUUUCAAAUGGUUUAUUUUAUAUUAGAUCAUUGAGAGAUAGAUUAAUGUCAUAAACGUAGGUACUAGCAAGCAAUAUUUUUGUCUCCUAUGUGCACAUAUUGUAUAUUUCAUAUCCUCUGAUAACUUGAAGUCACUAAUUUAAGUCAAAUUAGGGAAAGGGCAGUAUAGUAAUUGCAAUAUUUUCGGCUCCUUCUUGGUAACAAAUGCAGCUUCUUUUUUCCCCUCCACCCAUAUAUGAGUCUUCUUUUUCUUUGGCUAAGAUAUAAUAGCACUGCUCUACAUGAACAAAACUAUUUUUACUGGCUAUGUUAUUACUGAGAAAUGCAUUGGGAAAAUGUAAAAAUAUUUCACCUUUAUGUUGAAGAAAAUAAACACAGUGGAUUAGAUAAAAUUUGCACAGCUCUUGACAUGUGCCAUAUGUAACAUUUGGGAAACAUCAAAAAAGAGGCUCUGACUUCUUCGGAGAAUCAUAGACUCUGGCACUGGAGGGGGACUGAUCCACCACCCCACCUCACUCCAGCAAUUUGGGCAAACAAGACCUAAAGAAAUUGAAGGAUAAUCUAAAGUUUACAUUAUUAAUGGAAGAAACAAGACCAGAA